UAGCGGCAGGCCUAACACAUGCAAGUCGAGGGGUAACAAGUCUAGCUUGCUAGAUGUUGACGACCGGCGCACGGGUGCGCAACGCGUAUACAAUCUACCCCCUACUGUGGGAUAGCCCAGAGAAAUUUGGAUUAAGACCACAUGGUACCAUUUUACGGCAUCGUAUUAAUGGUUAAAGGUUACGGUAGGGGAUGAGUAUGCGUCCCAUUAGUUAGUUGGCGAGGUAACGGCUCACCAAGACCGCGAUGGGUAGGGGCCCUGAGAGGGGGAUCCCCCACACUGGUACUGAGACACGGACCAGACUCCUACGGGAGGCAGCAGUGAGGAAUAUUGGACAAGUAGGAGCGGCGAGRCCUGAUCCAGCCAUGCCGCGUGCAGGAAGAAUGCCCUAUGGGUAGUAAACUGCUUUUAUACGGGAAGAAAAAGAGCUACGUGUAGSCUUACUGACGGUACCGUAAGAAUAAGGACCGGCUAACUCCGUGCCAGCAGCCGCGGUAAUACGGAGGGUCCGAGCGUUAUCCGGAAUUAUUGGGUUUAAAGGGUCCGUAGGCGGGCCGAUAAGUCAGUGGUGAAAGUUUGCAGCUCAACUGUAAAAUUGCCUUUGAUACUGUCGGUCUUGAGUUAUAGUGAAGUUGCCGGAAUAUGUAGUGUAGCGGUGAAAUGCAUAGAUAUUACAUAGAACACCGAUUGCGAAGGCAGGUGACUAACUAUAUACUGACGCUGAUGGACGAAAGCGUGGGGAGCGAACAGGAUUAGAUACCCUGGUAGUCCACGCCGUAAACGAUGGAUACUAGCUGUUCCGGGUCCUUGAGRACCUGGGCGGCCAAGCSGAAAGUGAUAAGUAUCCCACCUGGGGAGUACGUUCGCAAGAAUGAAACUCAAAGGAAUUGACGGGGGCCCGCACAAGCGGUGGAGCAUGUGGUUUAAUUCGAUGAUACGCGAGGAACCUUACCAGGGCUUAAAUGCAUUUUGACAGGGGUAGAGAUACCUUUUCCUUCGGGCAAUUUGCAAGGUGCUGCAUGGUUGUCGUCAGCUCGUGCCGUGAGGUGUCAGGUUAAGUCCUAUAACGAGCGCAACCCCUACCGUUAGUUGCCAGCGAGUCAUGUCGGGGACUCUAACGGGACUGCCGGUGCAAACCGUGAGGAAGGUGGGGACGACGUCAAAUCAUCACGGCCCUUACGUCCUGGGCCACACACGUGCUACAAUGGCCGGUACAGCGGGAAGCCAUGCGGUAACGCAGAGCGGAUCCACAAAACCGGUCACAGUUCGGAUCGGGGUCUGCAACUCGACCCCGUGAAGCUGGAAUCGCUAGUAAUCGGAUAUCAGCCAUGAUCCGGUGAAUACGUUCCCGGGCCUUGUACACACCGCCCGUCAAGCCAUGGAAGCCGGGAGUGCCUGAAGUCCGUCACCGCAAGGAGCGGCCUAGGGCAAGAUCGGUAACUAGGGCUAAGUCGUA
rnacentral:rRNA from 1 species